rnacentral:lncRNA from 1 species
UCCUCUUCUUCUUCCUCCUCCUCCUCCUCAUCAAUAGGAAAACACUGAGAAGCAGCCUUAAGGAACAACACAGUGGUGAUAUCCAGGGACUUGAAAUUAUGUCACGUGCUAUCGGCAACCAAUAUAUGAUGUUUGGAUUGAGAACUAUGAUCAAAGUGAAGCAGUGGAACUUUGCAGUUAAUCAAACAGGAAUUUUGAACCAAAAACCCACAAAUGUGUUUCAACACACUCGAGCUACGUAAUCUUGGAUUUUCAAAUAGGUGAAGCAAGAAUUAGGACUG